rnacentral:rRNA from 1 species
AUGGGUGAGUAAUGCAUAGGAAUCUGCCCGGUAGUGGGGGAUAGCCCGGGGAAACCCGGAUUAAUACCGCAUACGCCCUUCGGGGGAAAGCAGGGGAUCUUCGGACCUUGCGCUAUCGGAUGAGCCUAUGUCGGAUUAGUUAGUUGGUGGGGUAAUGGCCUACCAAGGCGACGAUCCGUAGCUGGUCUGAGAGGAUGAUCAGCCACAUCGGGACUGAGACACGGCCCGAACUCCUACGGGAGGCAGCAGUGGGGAAUAUUGGACAAUGGGGGCAACCCUGAUCCAGCCAUGCCGCGUGUGUGAAGAAGGCUUUCGGGUUGUAAAGCACUUUCAGCAGGGAGGAAAGCUUGUCGGUUAAUACCCGGCAAGGGCGACGUUACCUGCAGAAGAAGCACCGGCUAACUCCGUGCCAGCAGCCGCGGUAAUACGGAGGGUGCAAGCGUUAAUCGGAAUUACUGGGCGUAAAGCGCGCGUAGGCGGUUGGAUAAGCGAGAUGUGAAAGCCCUGGGCUUAACCUGGGAAUGGCAUUUCGAACUGUCUGGCUAGAGUGUGGUAGAGGGUAGUGGAAUUUCCAGUGUAGCGGUGAAAUGCGUAGAUAUUGGAA